CACGUAGGCACCAAGCGUUGUCCGGAUUUAUUGGGCGUAAAGAGCUCGUAGGCGGUUCAGUAAGUCGGGUGUGAAAACUCUGGGCUCAACCCAGAGACGCCACCCGAUACUGCUGUGACUUGAGUCCGGUAGGGGAGUGUGGAAUUCCCGGUGUAGCGGUGAAAUGCGCAGAUAUCGGGAGGAACACCCGUAGCGAAGGCGGCACUCUGGGCCGGUACUGACGCUGAGGAGCGAAAGCGUGGGGAGCAACAGG
rnacentral:rRNA from 1 species